rnacentral:sRNA from 1 species
GCCAGGUGUGGUGGUGCACACCUGUAAUCCCAGCAGCUUGGGAGGCUGAAACAGGAGGAUCACAAGUCCAAAGCCAGCCUCAGCAAAAGCGAGAUGCUAAGCAACACAGUGAGACCCUGUCUCUA